ensembl:lncRNA
CAGAAUCAGCUCCAACAUCUGCAUCUGACAGCAUCAAGUCAACCAGAAAGAAAAUGACUUCUUUCUGAUCACAUCUGUUCCGCUGCUCACAGGCUGCUGCUGCUCACAUUCUUCACAUUUAUUGUCCACUUUUAAAAGUUCAGCAGACAGGUGCUCUGCUUUUUGAAGUGUGACGAUGUCAUCGGUGAUGUGGAGAGUGAAGUUUCCGUUUUACCCACAGCAUGCUUGAGGGCAGACGGAGUGAAAGUAGCAGUUCCUCCUUAAGGUCAGAGAUUGCAGCAACUGCGGGCCUCUUCAAAAGACGACAUAGUUGAUGAAGGCGUUCUGGAGCAGGACCAGAAAGACCACGACCAAGCAGCCUUGAGAUCUUAGGCAGCGUCUCCCUCAGGUGGAUGUCAACGGUGUUCACGGCCAGACCAAAGAACUACAGACUCUUCACAACCUGCUCAAACUCUUGGUACAGGACCUCACCACACGGGUCAAGAAGGUUUCCGUCUCAUUUCUACUCUGAAGCUCACCUUCUCCUGCUCAAACUGCUGAC